GACGUAGGGGGCCAGCGUUGUUCGGAAUUACUGGGUGUAAAGGGUUCGUAGGCGGUGCGGCAAGUUGGGAGUGAAAUCUCUGGGCUUAACCCAGAGGCUGCUUCCAAAACUGCUGUGCUUGAGUGUGGGAGAGGCGCGUGGAAUUGCAGGUGUAGCGGUGAAAUGCGUAGAUAUCUGCAGGAACACCUGCGGCGAAGGCGGGUUGCUGGGCUGACACUGACGCUGAUGCGCGAAAGCCAGGGGAGCGAACGGG
rnacentral:rRNA from 1 species